UUGCACCUGGCAAGUCCUACACAACCAGCUCCCGUUGAAUCCUCCAGGUCGGGAACGAAGCAAAGGUAUUCGGUCGUAGCGGUGUGAUGUAGGUACUUGCCUUUUU
rfam:Croceibacter atlanticus HTCC2559, complete genome.